CUGGCCGUAAACGAUGGAUACUAGGUGUAGGAGGUAUCGACCCCUUCUGUGCCGUAGUGAACGCAAUAAGUAUCCCGCCUGGGUAGUACGGUCGCAAGACUGAAACUCAAAGGAAUUGACGGGGGCCCGCACAAGCAGUGGAGCAUGUGGUUUAAUUCGACGCAACCCGAAGAACCUUACCAGGUUUUGACAUUUAUGGAAUUCUGUAGAGAUACGGAAGUGCCUGUUCGCAGGAACCAUAAAACAGGUGG
rnacentral:rRNA from 1 species